UACGAAGGGGGCUAGCGUUGCUCGGAAUCACUGGGCGUAAAGGGUGCGUAGGCGGGUCUUUAAGUCAGGGGUGAAAUCCUGGAGCUCAACUCCAGAACUGCCCUUUGAUACUGAAGAUCUUGAGUUCGGGAGAGGUGAGUGGAACUGCGAGUGUAGAGGUGAAAUUCGUAGAUAUUCGCAAGAACACCAGUGGCGAAGGCGGCUUACUGGCCCGAUACUGACGCUGAGGCACGAAAGCGUGGGGAGCAAACAGG
rnacentral:rRNA from 1 species